UUUGAAACUUUGAAACUUUUUAUUUCUCAAAGACCCCAUAAGGGGUAUGUGAAUAUAAACAGUAAUAACAAACAAUAACAUAUAUACAAAAUAAUGAGAUAAUAGAAUGACAUGGUUACAUAUUCAAUGGUAUACAUAAAGUACAUGAUUUAAGGAAUUUGCAGUGGAAGGCAAAUCUAAUUUAUAACAGACAGGACAAUUUUACAAAAUUUGGC
rnacentral:lncRNA from 1 species